AGAGUUUGAUCCUGGCUCAGGAUGAACGCUGGCGGCGUGCCUAACACAUGCAAGUCGAACGAUGAUCCCAGCUUGCUGGGGGAUUAGUGGCGAACGGGUGAGUAACACGUGAGUAACCUGCCCUUAACUCUGGGAUAAGCCUGGGAAACUUGGACUAAUACCGGAUAUGACUCCUCAUCGCAUGGUGGGGGGUGGAAAGCUUUAUUGUGCUUUUUGAGGGACUCGCGGCCUAUCAGCUUGUUGGUGAGGUAAUGGCUUACCAAGGCGAUGACGGGUAGCCGGCGUGAGAGCGCGACCGGCCACACUGGGACUGAGACACGGCCCAGACUCCUACGGGAGGCAGCAGUGGGGAAUAUUGCACAAUGGGCGAAAGCCUGAUGCAGCGACGCCGCGUGGAGGAAGACGGCCUUCGGGUUGUAAACCUCUUUCAGUAGGGAAGAAGCGAAAGUGACGGUACCUGCAGAAGAAGCGCCGGCUAACUACGUGCCAGCAGCCGCGGUAAUACGUAGGGCCCAAGCGUUAUCCGGAAUUACUGGGCGUAAAGAGUUCGUAGGCGGUUUGUCGCGUCUGCCGUGAAAGUCCGGGGCUCAACUCCGGAUCUGCGGUGGGUACGGGCAGACUAGAGUGAUGUAGGGGAGACUGGAAUUCCUGGUGUAGCGGUGAAAUCCGCAGAUAUCAGGAGGAACACCAAGGGCGAAGGCAGGUCUCUGGGCAUUAACUGACGCUGAGGAGCGAAAGCAUGGGGAGCGAACAGGAUUAGAGACCCUGGUAGUCCAUGCCGUAAACGUUGGGCACUAGGUGUGGGGGACAUUCCACGUUUUCCGUACCGUAGCUAACGCAUUAAGUGCCGCGCCUGGGGAGUACGGUCGCAAGACUAAAACUCAAAUGAAUUGACGG
rnacentral:rRNA from 1 species